rnacentral:lncRNA from 1 species
CGGGAGAGGCGCCCUGCAUGGCCCCAAGCACCCUGCCCUCCCCUCCCGUCCCCCGUGGAACCCCCGUGGGGUUGGGCUGUGGACUGUAGGAUUGGGAUGAGUGGUGGGGGACGUGGCUGUGGGAUGGGCCGUGGGUUUGGGACAGAUCGAGGCCUCGGGUCCCCCAGCGCCACAGUGCUGCUGCCAGCAUGUGGGCCGUGCACCCCCCAAGCCCUCCAGCGCUGCUCCCGGUGCCCCCAGACCCCCUGCAGCCCCCCAGAACCGGGGCUAAGGUGGGCCUGUGGCUACUGGGGGCUGCGGGGAGGGAUAUGGGGCUGUAGGGGGCUGUGCAGGGACUGUUAAGGCGUAUGGGUGUAUACGGAGCUGAGGGGGACUCUAGGGGGGAUCUGGGGCUGUGGUGAGCCACAGGAGGAUUUGGUGCCAUAGGGGGCUGUGGGGAGAUCAUGGGCGGGGUGGGGGGGUGGAUAUAGUCAGUCUGCCCAGGGAGGCUGUGGAUUGUCCUUCCCUGGAGAUCCUCCAAACCCAGCUGGAUGCCUACCUGUGCAGCCUGCUGUAUGGAGCCAGUUUUGCAGGAGCGGGGGUGGGGGGGUUUUGGACUCAAUAUUCUCUAGAGAUUACUUCCAGCCUCUUCAGUUCUGUGAUUCUGUGAUUGUAAUCGUUGCUUCUUGCAGCAGUAGAGUGUUUCAGAAGAGAGAAAAAGAUGGUGGCCAUGAACUGGCUUUCUGUGGCUGGUAAAGCUGUGCUGAGAACUGGGCUGACUAUUGCAACUGAAAAUGCGUGCCAAGUCUGCAGACGCAGAGGAAUAACUAUUCCGUGUUGGUUGAGCUUGUCUAAGGUAGGUGUCCUUGCUAGGUGAGCUUCUGCUUUAAAGCAUCACGUUGUAAUUUUAAAAGCAAGGUUGCCAGUUCUUUUUUUACCCAAGUGAUUUUUUAGCACGGAGAGAUUUCAGAUGCUGUUUGGUAAUGGAAGAUGGAGAGAGGAAAAGCAAGGAAAAGGCAGGCUGUGCAUAGCCAGCGCAUCCCAUCUGUACCGCUGUCCCCCUGCACAAAGGAGAGGAGCAUCUCAGCAAGCUUGGCCUGGGCCAUGGAAGGGAUCAUACAAACAUCUGGACCAACGUGACAGGAGUUAGUUCUGCAGGUUGGUUGUUUUCUGCUGUUUGUCCCACAUCCUGUUGCUCAGUGGUAGAUUUGUUCAUGUUCAGCGCUACCAGGAAUGUCCCCGAGCAUUUUGGUUUCAGCUGUCGCAACGCUUUGAUCCCCUGCUGCUGGGCUGGGGCGUUUGAGGAAUGAUGCAUGUGCUGAUGUCCACCAGGCUUUGGGGAUGAGUCUGCGUAGCAGGGUAUGUGUGGCAGGACUGAGGCUUGGGGAGCAGGCCAGGUGGAAUCCAGUGUGCUUUGCUGUCGUUCUCAGUGCUUGUUUUUGCUCAGGAGGGCAGGUGGUGAAGCUCAUGAAGCAAUGCCUGCAGAUGGGGUUUGCAGAGCAAGAGGUCCGUCCUGCAGGCCUUGUGUGACACGCAUGGAGCUGUAGCGAGGCUGCAUCAGUGUAAAACAGCAGAAAUGCACGGAGCUGUGGGCUCCAGUAGUGCAGGAGGGGAUGUGCGUGCUCAGGGUUUGGCUGCUUCUGUGUGUGUGUUUUAUGUGAGUGUGAUGCCAUUGCUUGGUCCGUUUGAGUGUAUGAAACAAGUGUGCCAUCCUUUGUGAUGGAGUCGUGUGCAAGGAG